UUUGAAUUGUGCCAGUUUAGUAUGCUUUUGCCACACCCUUUCUGGGCGAAGACAGUCUAUUGUUGACUUGGCAGUGUGAUGAAUUCUGACUUGCAGAUAUUUAUCUAGAAUUGCCCGUGACGAAUGUUGCACAUGACUUUCCAGUGGAUUGUUAUCAAGUCCGUCUUCAUUCAUACCUGCAAACAGAUCCUUUCCGACAAGUGUGGUCAUUGUGGACACUGCAACCUUGGCUGCAAGCAUGCGAGACUGCAAUAAGUAGCAAACGAGAGCUCGUCGAAGUUCCUUGCUGCUCAGAUAGCUGACACACCA
rnacentral:lncRNA from 1 species